GCUCUCAUUUGAAGGUAAGCAGCUAAGGAAGUGAGAUCUUUGCUUGGAGAUUAUCCCUUUUGAAGACUAUAGUGAUCUUUGGAAUGGGCAGUACCAUCACCUUCUCUUUUACCAUGAAAGAACACAGAACUUAGUCAAGAGUGAGCAUUUUUAGAGGCUGCAGUUCCAAGGAAGUGCAGAUUUGUGAAAUCCCUUUGCCCCGCGAGUCACAGAACCGGGCUGAAGCAGCCCAUAAACCGUCAAUGCAAGAAAAGGAAGCAGUAGUUGGACCUAACUCUGGUCAGUCAUUCUAAUUUAGGA